CGGGAGUAGCUCAGUUGGUAGAGCACCGGUCUCCAAAACCGGGUGUCGGGAGUUCGAGCCUCUCCUCCAUGA
rnacentral:tRNA from 1 species